rnacentral:rRNA from 1 species
AGCAGAUGAUUGGGCAUAAAGCGUGCGUAGGCGGUUUGUUAAGUCUGCUGUGAAAGCCCUGGGCUCAACCUGGGAACUGCAGUGGAUACUGGCGAGCUAGAGUGUGUCAGAGGAUGGUGGAAUUCCCGGUGUAGCGGUGAAAUGCGUAGAGAUCGGGAGGAACACCAGUGGCGAAGGCGGCCAUCUGGGACAACACUGACGCUGAGGCACGAAAGCGUGGGGAGCAAACAGGAUUAGAUACCCUGGUAGUCCACGCCCUAAACGAUGCGAACUGGACGUUGGGCACACUUAGGUGCUCAGUGUCGAAGCUAACGCGUUAAGUUCGCCGCCUGGGGAGUACGGUCGCAAGACUGAAACUAAAAAAUUGACGG